UUUAUGGAGAGUUUGAUCCUGGCUCAGGAUGAACGCUGGCGGCGUGCCUAAUACAUGCAAGUCGAGCGAACGGACGAGAAGCUUGCUUCUCUGAUGUUAGCGGCGGACGGGUGAGUAACACGUGGAUAACCUACCUAUAAGACUGGGAUAACUUCGGGAAACCGGAGCUAAUACCGGAUAAUAUUUUGAACCGCAUGGUUCGAAAGUGAAAGACGGUCUUGCUGUCACUUAUAGAUGGAUCCGCGCUGCAUUAGCUAGUUGGUAAGGUAACGGCUUACCAAGGCAACGAUGCAUAGCCGACCUGAGAGGGUGAUCGGCCACACUGGAACUGAGACACGGUCCAGACUCCUACGGGAGGCAGCAGUAGGGAAUCUUCCGCAAUGGGCGAAAGCCUGACGGAGCAACGCCGCGUGAGUGAUGAAGGUCUUCGGAUCGUAAAA
rnacentral:rRNA from 1 species